GAAAAGUAGAAAAAGAGACACCCCCAACUAAAUUAAUCAAGACAACAUACGCCCGGUUAUGCGCGGAGAAACAAAACCGGUUUUUUUUUUGGUGUGUGUGAACAUGGGCAUGGUAUUAAUCUUGAAAUUGAAACCGGUUCUUCUUCAGGUAUGCCGGUACGCCACACCAUGACCAUGAAUGAAUCUUGCGUUCUCUUCGCUAUAAACUUCCGUCUCCUUCUCCAGCCUGCUCAAUUUCAUAUUUCAGUUUUGUUAGUAAAAGGCUUGAUUAAUAAACAAAUAUAAACAAAGGAGAAAAGGAAGUUACGCGAGAGAGAUGGUUUUGUUGAGAGUAGCAGCAGAGAGGAACGAAGGAGCGUUUAGAUACAUCAACUCUCCUUUCACUCUCUCUUCGAUUCUUUGAUCUAUUUCAUUCACUUGGACCUCAAACUCUUGGUCUGAUGCCAUCACCCAUCCCCAAGUGUCGGCAAAUGACGGUACAUGUGCUGUGUAAGCCUUCACGUCUGUUUACAUUACAAAAAAAAAACAUCAUUACAAUGAACCCACCAUGUUUCUACACACCAAAACACACACAAAAAGGCUUGCUUACGUUUGAAGACUUGCUUCAUGGUGUUGUAGAUUGAUGUAAAGACUUCUUUAUGAGUGAAUAUUCCUUUACACAAGUAGGAAAGCAUUAGGGCACUCACUGAACGACACAAAAACAGCGGUUAAGCAAGUAGACAAAAUCUUAAGUGGAGUCUUGUUUGUUGUUACCUUCAUCAUUUGGUUGAUACUUAUGGAUAUAGCAACGACCAAGUUCUUAGUGGUCUUCUCCUCACAAUUUGUGGGUCUCGCUUUCAUGAUUGGAAGCACUUGCAAGAACAUCUUUGAAUCUUUUGUGUUUGUCUUUGUGAUGCAUCCUUACGACGUCUGUGAUCGUUGCCUUAUUGACGGCGUUGUAGUAAGCAACUCUGAACAUUAUUUCCUCACUAUAUUACUACUCAUUGAAAAACUAACUCAUGUAUAUUUUGCCAAUGUGGACUAAGCGACUAGACAGAUUAUUCGGAAGCUUAAGCAUGACCUAUUUGUUAACGAAUUAUUGAUUUGUAUUUUAUAAUUAUAUUAGAUUUUUUAAUUUUUAGAUUUAACUUUAACAUUAUUUUGAUGAGUUAUAAAAAUUAAAUAAUCAAAAAGAUUUAGACAAAUGUGUGGAUUUGAACUAACAUAUUGCUUGAUUAAAGAGAUUGACCAAUUUAAAUUGAUUAAAACAGAUUUAAAUUAUUUUCAACUAAUUUAGAACGGUUUGAGCCAAUUUUAGUCGCAGAUUUAAAAAAAAAAACUUUUUGAUUAUGAUCAAUUUGCGGUCUAUACCGAUUUUCGAAACAUUGAUAUUUUCUAAUAAGACUACUCAUUUUAAACCUCUUACCUCUUUUUUUGCCUUUGAAGUUGUUGGUCGAAGAGAUAGAUCUUUUAACUACAGUGUUCCUCAAGCUUGACAACGAGAAGGUGUUCUAUCCAAAUACGACGUUGAUAUCAAAACCGAUAAGCAAUUACUACAGAAGUCCAGAUAUGGUAGAUUCAAUACCAUUCUCCAUCGCAUUCUCAACUCCCGAAGCGAAAAUUGCCACUCUAAAGGAAACUAUAUCAGAGUAAGUGUCAGAAACAAAAACCAUCUUAAACUACUCACUCUCACUGUGUAUUGACAAGAUAUUUUUGUAUGUGUUUGGUCAGAUAUUUGGUGCAAAAUCCACAAAAUUGGUAUCCAAAUCCCCUUUUGUUGGUGAACGCGAUUGAGAAUGUGAACAAGCUGAACUUAAAUCUGUUUGUUACGCACACCAUCAACUUCCAGAACAUCACAGAGAAGAGUCUCAGGAGAACAGAGCUGGUCAUCGCGGUUAAGCGAAUCCUCGAGGAGCUUGAGAUCGAUUACACCCUGCUUCCUCAAGAUGUUCAUCUCAUCGGUCACACAUGAUCAUUUCCUUCUGCAUGUAUUAACUCCGCUCGUACUUGUUAUUACAGCAUGAUUUGCUUUGGUUUAAUCACUCAAGAAACUCGGUUUAAGUUUUCGAUAUGUAUUUGUUAAUGUAUAAACCAACUUUAAGAAAUCUAGACGGUAUCUAGGCAUUUAAAGGGGAAAACAUCUAAUCGGAUUAUUUUGAGUCUAGGUGAGGCAUAGUUCAAAAGAGAGAAGAUGGUGAAGGCCAAGUGAAGACGGAAGAAGAAGAUGGAGACUCAAUCAGGCCUAAGGUAAGAGAUAAGUAAGUGGGUCACCAUGAAAAGGCAUCUACACAUACUAAGAAUUAUUGAUUUAUUUUAUAUAUAUUAAUCUAUAUACGAUAUUUUAGUUUUUUGGCUUUAAUUAUAAAAUUAUUUUGAUGAAUUAACAAAAUUAGAUAUACAAAAUACAUUACACUGAUUUGCACUAACAUUAUUGAUUAAUUUAGCAGAUUUAGACUAUUUUAAUCGAUUUAAACUGAUUUAAAGGAUUUUAAGAAAAUUGUUUCGGCCAAGACUGAUUUUGAGGAUAGGCGGGCGCCCAUACUAUUAAAUGAACUAAUUUGAUUUCUAGAUUUGGUGUGGACAAUUUACUAAUACCAAAGUGAAGAUAUUAAUGAUGACGAAGGGGUUUUUCUUAGUAAGCAAAACCGAAAUAACUUGAGGAACAAGAAAAGUAGAAAAAGAGACACCCCCAACUAAAUUAAUCAAGACAACAUACGCCCGGUUAUGCGCGGAGAAACAAAACCGGUUUUUUUUUUGGUGUGUGUGAACAUGGGCAUGGUAUUAAUCUUGAAAUUGAAACCGGUUCUUCUUCAGGUAUGCCGGUACGCCACACCAUGACCAUGAAUGAAUCUUGCGUUCUCUUCGCUAUAAACUUCCGUCUCCUUCUCCAGCCUGCUCAAUUUCAUAUUUCAGUUUUGUUAGUAAAAGGCUUGAUUAAUAAACAAAUAUAAACAAAGGAG
rnacentral:lncRNA from 1 species